rnacentral:rRNA from 1 species
AGAGUUUGAUCCUGGCUCAGAUUGAACGCUGGCGGCGUGGCUAAAACAUGCAAGUCCGGGGCUCAGCAAUGAGCACCGGCGGAAGGGUGAGGAAUACAUUCGAACGUGCCCCAAGGUGGGGGAUAGGCGUGGGAAACUGCGCGUAAUACCCCAUGUGCUCUACGGAGGAAAGCUUCGGCGCCUCGGGAGCGGCGAAUGUCCUAUCAGGUAGUUGGCGGGGUAAUGGCCCACCAAGCCGAAGACGGGUAGCAGGUGUGAGAGCACGGCCUGCCACAUCGGGACUGAGACACUGCCCGGACUCCUACGGGAGGCUGCAGUAACGAAUAUUCCGCAAUGCGCGAAAGCGUGACGGAGCGACGCCGCGUGCAGGAUGAAGCGGCUUUGCCGUGUAAACUGCUGUCAGGAGCUACUAAAACUGAAGUGCUCCAGAGGAAGGGCCGGCUAAUCCUGUGCCAGCAGCCGCGGUAAUUC